UGGAGAGUUCUCUGGGCCCUGCCGACACUUUUCAGAAGCUAACUUGGAGUCAGGAAUGUCACACCUCCCAGGACCCCAAGCAAUCAGCUCGUCUAUAAUCUCUCUUACACACCAGUGCUCUAUUGGAUAAGCAGUUUGCUAGGCCAGAGCUCAAAGGCCCCCCAAUCUUGGCCUUGCCUCCAUUUCACCCAUUCACUCCAUAAACACCUACUGAGCGCCUCAUGUGUGCCAGGCACUGUUCCAGGUGCCAGCGUGAGCGAGACUGUCUUUACCCUCACGGAGCUGAAGUUCUAGUAGGGAAGAGACAGUGAAGACAUGACACAGAAAUCCAGAAUGUUACUGCAGGGAGUGAUCCAUGCUAUGGAGACGAAGCUCCUAGAGAGGGCUACCAGGAUCACUCCGGCUGCUGCACUGACAUCUGACUGAGGAGGCCGGAAAGGAACAGGAACAGCACCCGGAGGCAUAGGUGACUGUGCAGGAGCCUCACCUCGCUCUCACGCUGACGCCUGUUCCUCCCACCCGCCCUGCCGUGAAUGUGGUCAGUGCUCCUCUUGUGCCUGCAUUUCAGCACCGGCCUCCCAGCUGGGUUUCCUUCCUUGGGGCCCCUGAACCUCUUUCUCAUCGAAUCCCCUUCUAGGAUUAUCCUCUGAAA